GAUGAACGCUGGCGGCGUGCCUAAUACAUGCAAGUCGAGCGAACGGACGAGAAGCUUGCUUCUCUGAUGUUAGCGGCGGACGGGUGAGUAACACGUGGAUAACCUACCUAUAAGACUGGGAUAACUUCGGGAAACCGUAGCUAAUACCGGAUAAUAUUUUGAACCGCAUGGUUCAAAAGUGAAAGACGGUCUUGCUGUCACUUCUAGAUGGAUCCGCGCUGCAUUAGCUAGUUGGUAAGGUAACGGCUUACCAAGGCAACGAUGCAUAGCCGACCUGAGAGGGGGAUCGGCCACACGGGAGCUGAGACGCGGUCCAGGCUCCUACGGGAGGCAGCAGUAGGGAAUCGUCCGCAAUGGGCGAAAGCCUGACGGAGCAACGCCGCGUGAGUGAUGAAGGUCUUCGGAUCGUAAAACUCUGUUAUUAGGGAAGAACAUAUGAGUAAGUAACUGUGCACAUCUUGACGGUACCUAAUCAGAAAGCCACGGCUAACUACGUG
rnacentral:rRNA from 1 species